rnacentral:piRNA from 1 species
UGUUAUACAUAAGGCUGCUAUGAACAUG